rnacentral:lncRNA from 1 species
CUUUCCCCAAUAUGCCGCCUUCUUGGGAUCAAAACUUGCCGCCUUAUCCUUCAACUCAAGAAGGCUCUCAUCAGGAGUAAUUGCCACCUUAGGUUUCUUAACCACCGCUUCCUCACUUUUCCCCAGCUGGGCAUCCUUAAUCUUGCUCGAAUCGUCAUUUUUCAUAUCUUUUUCCAGCUGGGCUUCUUUAAUUUGAGCUGAAUCAGGUUCUUUGACUGAAAUCGGAGCAGAAUUUUGAGAAGUGAUGAUGGGGGUGGGGGUUUUGCGUUUCUUGGGAGAUGUUUUUGUUGUUUCUGCUCGGACUUUUUCUUGCUAGCAUUGGACAUGAGGAGGUCGAAGGCAGAAGGGCGAGAAGCCAUUGCUGCUAGUGAUCCUGGAUUAACUAAUGGAAUCGAGAGAAAGAAGGAUCUCUGAGAGAAGGGUUUUGCGGGAAGGAAGAAUAGAUGAGAAAGUAGGGCUUAAAGCCGAGUGGUUUUCUGAGGGGAAACGAAAGAGUGUGGUGGUAAAGUGGAGUGAAGAAGAGCAUGACCUGAAUGCGGUGAGCAACAGCUGCCGUUUUUCUGCUACGGAGAGGGAGACAACUGACACGGGUUGCUGUUGCGGAUGCGGAUGGCUAGGAGGGAAGAGGAAGGCAAAUGGCAGGAAAGGAAAUUGAGGGUUUUGUGCACUUAGGAUUGAAAAUUGCCAGAAAAGCCUUUGGAAAAAAAUUGCUGGGGAAGCCUUUUUUGUGUUUGGGCGAUGAGUUGUUAGCAAAAUCUUGAGAGAGGGACUAAAAUUUUCAUUUCGUAAGCUAGCAAUAGGUGACUUGAAAUUUGUGAUUUGAAGGUUUGAGGUGUACCCCCCAAAAAAAUAAUAACAAAGUCGUAAGCUAGCAAUAGGCAGACUAGUGAGUUAGUGGUUUAUUAGUGGUUUAUUAUACGUUUUCUUUCACUAUGUUCACACUCUGAAGUCUGAAUUAUUCCAACCCAAUUGAUGAAAAAUGUUUUAAAAAUGUUUAGGACAAGUGCAAUAUCCACAUAGUUUAUUUUUGUGAUAUGUCGCAUCGUGGAGUGGAAACGGCAUGCAUAUAUGCUUGGGCUCGUGAGUUAUCAAGUAAUUUAGAUUAAUCAUAUUUUGUACCAUAAUUUGGAUCAAAAGUUAAUUAGGCCAACCCGUGGAUCAAAAGCGUUACAAUUUUGACUUAUUUUAUUGAUUCAAGUUUGUUCAAAAACUUUUUUUGGUAAAAAAUUUAUGCGACAUGGAAACAUAAUUUGGUGAAUUCACAAAACCAUGUAUAUUGCACAUGCCAAAAUCAGCUCGAAAGUGGAUUGUCCAACCCAAUUGUAAUGAUACAAGUUUUAAAAGAUUAGCAAAGAUGCAUACGAAGUAAAAAAAGGUGAUUAGCAAAUGUGUUUACGAAAAAAAAAUUUAAAAGAAAACAGUUUUCCAAAAUUUUAACUCUCGCACCCAUUCCUACACUUUUCUACUCCCAACUGUCAAGUUCAGAAUUCGAACUUUGAACUCGACGACGUUGGUCAUUGGACCAAUCCCAAUGCUUAAUUUUACCAAACUUGCAAAACAAGAAAUAAGAAUAAAGACCGACCAAAACGUCUAUAAGUAUACUGAUCAUCACAAAUAAUAUAAAAUCUGUUUUGACUUGCCAAACUUAGGUUAUUUGCAUGAGUUUCUUCAUUGUUUUUUAAUUUUAAUAAUAAUUGAUAUCCCUCUUCUGAAGUCUCUCCACAGUCUCCACACACGGGGUUGAUGGAACAGUUUUUGAAUGAGAGCCAUUCAAGUCAUGUUGUUGAUUGGAGUUCCAGAAAAAAAAAACUCCAAAUUCCGUCUGCAACUGGCUGGGGUACGCUGGUACGAACAAAAAAUCUAUAAUAAGAUAAACAAUGGAAUGUAGUUGUAAUGAUGAACCCCUACCUAAACCUAAAUAAACGGAAUAAUUAAUACACCACCAAAUCAAUAAUUGUAUCAUAUUCUACAUGUUCUUUCCUUCUCGAACUAGCUUGCAACUGGUUUUGAUACGUCAGGUUUCUUUACAGGGACUAGACUACAACUACUUGUAUGGAGGAAGAAACUCCAAGUUCCUGAGUCCACGAAUUUCGGAUCCCACCAGUGAUUUUUGUGUUGUUGGUCAUGAUUAGUUUCUUCUUAUCUUCUCCCAGUGCAGGACGGUUGGUCAACUGAACAUGCAAGUUGAUAAUUGCUCAAUUCUUCAAUGAUAAUAAUGUUGAUGAAAAACUCACAAAUUAUGCAGAACGAUCUGGAGCAGAAGGGCCUGCAUUGAUUGCUUAUCAUGAGAAUCCACUUCACUUGGGCAGAGAGCUAGGGGGUGAGCAUGAGAAAUGGCAGCUACCCGUUUGGAUUGCAUUUUUCGUCAUUUUUCAUGAAAAAAUUACUGUAGCGAUUUGAUGUACGUAAGGAAAAAAGAUAAUAGAAAAAUGUGUUCACGAAAAACGACGCAAUUUUCUGGUAAAAAAUGGCAAUCCAAACACACUGGCUUCAACUACUUGGUCCACUAAUAUUGCUGCUGCAUAUGGAGGUUGAGAAACAGGGAUGGUGUUGGUUUGUGGGUCCCCCUUAGACUGACUUUAGGGUCCGUUCUUUCGUUGACUCAUGAGUGUUUCUAAUCUAACUGUGUGUGUUCUUCUUCUGUCUAUAGAAAAAAGAAAGUGUAGUAAACUUUUUUCAUUCUUAUUACUCCUCCGUCCCACUUUGAUAGUCUGUUUUUUUUCACACAAUUUAAGGAAAAAUAGUUAAUUUUGUUGAAAAAGUAAAUUUAGAUUGCCAUUUUUCUAAAAUAUCCUUACAUUAAAUAUGGUACAACUUUAUGGGAACUUAGAAUUGAUGGUAAAAAAAGAAUAAACUCUUAUUAAAUGGAGUAGAUUUAUAGUAACAACUACUUACAUUGAAUAAGGGUAUAUUAGAAAAAUUAAAAUACAACUACAUUCUUCAAUUGAAAAGUGGACUACAAUUUGGGAUAGAUGAAAAAGGAAUACAGGACUAUCAAAGUGGGACGGAGGGAGUAUGAUACUUUUAUUAUAGUUCAUAAGCCCAAAAAAAAAAGAAAGAAAGUGUAGUAACAUUUGAUUCGUAGUCAUUAUAUAUAUUAUUAAAAUGCAUGCAUAUACAUUUAUAAUAUUUUUUUAAUUUAAUUUCACACUUUCAAAAAAAGUACUACUGUAUGAAAUCAUUUUGGCAGUGUCCACUAGAUAGCAUUAGACAAUUAAGACAUAAUAGGGAUUGCAAUAAUGUUUUUAAAAAAAAAAUUCCAAUCAGUAACCGACACACUACUCAUUUUCCAACAUAGAACUACUGAAUUCAUGGCCACAGAAAAGGGAUUAAAUUUCUCUUUUAACUAUAAAUUGAGGGUUCGAACUUCACUUAUAAUAAAAAAAUAAUUUAAAGGAGAUAUUAAAGUAUUCUUUUGAUUUAAUCAGAUUUUUAUAUAGAGUCUUUUUAGACUUUUUUCCUUUAAAUUAAGACAGAUUAAAUUAUAAAAAUAUUUAUCGAUGUUAUAAAAUAAAUAAGUAUACCAUAGCUUUCUAGUCAAAACAGGAAAAAGCUGAUAUGAUGAGUGAUGACCCUAGUCGCAGAUCCCAAAACACUGUCCACCUGAAUAUGCAUAUAAUUUUGGCUGGCUACACGAACGUGCAGGUUGUAAGACGGGGGAAGGAUGGUUAGGCAAGCUUGUUUUUUGGGUAAGAGAGGAGUUCUUGGUUAGACGAGUGAGAGCGUACGUGACUGUGCACUUUUUUUUUUUUUUUGGGAUAGAGCUCUAUUGGCAAAAAAAAUCUUUAAUAGCACCGCAAAUAUGUUUUUGUAUUACUUUUUAAUAUUUUUUUAUUUCAUAUACAUUACAUUAUAAAAAAUCUUAUGCUAUUUUUUAAAAAUAUUAUUCCAAAUAAUAUUCUAUCCAAAUACACUAGACUAUUUUAUUUGCAUCAUAUUCAAUCACCUUUUAAUUAUUUUACAUGCAUCGUAUCAUAUAGAAUGUGCUGUAAUGUUAACCUAAAUAAUUUUUCAAGUAAUCUUCCAUCCCAUUUAAGAAUAUUUAAAUGUACAAUUUAUAUUCCAAUUACAUCACUGCAAUGUACUAAAAUGAACCCCUCCCCCCUCCCCCCAAAAAAAAGAAUAAAAGGGAGGAUGAAAUGCUUUAUAUUCCAAUUACAAAUCACCUUCUGCAAUUAAUCACUUUAAGAAAAAUCUCAAACACUUCCCCUCCUCUUUUGCUUCAAAAGGGAGGAUGAAAUGCUUUAGUCUUCUCAUAAAAUUCAAAUGUUAAUUGCUUUCACCUAUUAAGCCAAGUGCCCCCAAUCUUGUUUAUACUUCUUGAACACCAAAUUCCACAGGACUAGUACUCGAUUAGUUAUAAACCCUUGUCAAGAUUCCAGUUUCUGAAUGCAACUUACUUCUGGAAAACCGAAUUCCACAUGACUGGGAACUCAAUUAGUUAUACACCCUCGUCAAGAUUCAAGCCGAUUGCAGAUGUCCUGCCAUAGAAUGGGAAACAGUGAAGAAAACAAAGAAAGGAUUCAUUUACUUUUCAUACCUCUCAUUGGUUGGGACAAAAAGUAAUAUUAGUCCAUCAUUAUACUAGUCCAAUACCUCAUCGAGACAAGAAAACGCGUUAUAUCAUUUCUUGGGUCAUCCACGUGUUUUUACUUUUCCUUUUUUUUUUAUGCUUUUGCUUUUGGGUACAUAUACAUCAUGAUUUUUAGAUUUUUGGCAAAAAAAAAAACAUUUUUGAAUAGUCAUUACAUUUUAUAUUGAAAUAUGCUCAUAUAGAGACAGAAAUGUCCAUUAUAUAUAAACUUAUAAAAUCACACAAGUCAAUAUGCACAAUUAAUAAUUCUCUAUUCUCAAUAAGUUCUAAACUGUUGAUUUAACUUUUUUAUUUAGACAAAAAAAGUCGAUCGGGGCGAUUAUUAAGUAUAUCUAGUAGUUGAAUCCAAAAAUCUACUUGGACACACGAGAAUUCCACUUGAUUUUAUUUAACGUGUCAAGUGGACUCCACUUAACAUGUAAAUAUGCAAAUGGAAUCCUUAUAUAUCCACAAGAAGCUUCACUGUUGAUCUUGGACUAACUACUAGUAGUUGUUUCGAGAACCGACAUACAAUUUCUAGUUUAGUUUAGUUUUUGGAGUAUAAUUAACAUUUCUUUAAGAAUAAUGUAGCACAGAGUAACACCAUACAAGAAAUAGUAGUAUUUUCUCGUGAAUAUGAUGUAUUUAGUGGAGUUCUUAUUGGAGUUUAGUAUAGAUUUUUGGGCUUUGCUUUUGUUUGGACAAAUGACUUGGGAUUUUCCCUUCGAUUUUGAUCUAAAAAUUGACGACUCACCUAAAUAAGAACUUAGGUAGGUAGAGACUAUCGGCAUGGACUUUGGAUCCCCAACACUUUCGCCAUCGAAUGGAUUCUACUACUACUACUACUUUUUUUUUCCUUUUUAAAUUCAUAUGACGGGGGCCCACAAAGCUUCACAGAAAACACACUGCCCCACACGGAUUUAAGACUCGAUUUUCCUGGAGUCAGUUGCUUUGCUCAUUGCCCUCUGUACUACUAUGAGAUUGCGGGUGGGGUCCCCAAUCCCCAUAUGGUGACCGGUAAUUUGCAAUUUUCCAAUGUUUUUAAACUCGGACCGGUCAGUGAACCGGAGAGGUUGCCGGUUCGCGGUCCGACUGAUUCGACCGGUCCAACCGGCCGGUUCACAGGUUCACUGAUUUUUUUUUUUUUUUUAAGUGUUAAGUACUAAACAGGUUUAAUUCUACACUUGAACUUUACCAACAUAACUUAAUUUAAGUUAUGAUAAUAAUAAAUUUCCUAAAAGUUAUACAUAAAACAUGGAAUGAUAAAUAUAAUUAAAAUAUCAUAAUUCACCACAAGUUUUCAUAAAUUCAUUAUAAACAUAAAUAGAUACAAUCCAAAUGUUCACCAAUUAUCACAAAUAAAAACACAAAAAAUAAAUAAAUUAAAUAUUGAAAUUCUUUUACAACCCUUAAAAAAAUCCAUAAAAGAGUUCAAGUUAAGACAAAUAAUUUGAAUAGCAAACUUUUAUGAGUGGCAUGAUAAGCAACCACAGCACCUUCACAAUUUAAUCAACUUAAGCUGAAAAAGUUAAAAUUUUAUUAUAAAAAUAUAAAUCUAAUUGCUCAAAUUAAAAAAAACUAAAAAUUUUUGAAAAACAAAUAUACAGUUAAACACAUAAAAAAUUAAUUGCUACUAAACAUUACUAAUUAACAUGUUAUAUUAAAUUCAAUGAUCCUAUACCAUUAAUUAUUUUAAAUUCAAUUAUCAGUAGCUUCGAUUAUGUGCUAACUAUCAUAUUUUUGACCAGCCCAAUGUUAUUAUUUAUAAUUCUUACCCAAUUCCUACAUGGAUGUGCACUACUUUUGCAAAAAUUUCAUCAUUAAUUAAUCAAAUAAAAAUAAAACAAAAAAUGAGGGAAACAUAUGAAAAUUGAGGGGAAAAAGAAGAAAAUGCAAAAAAAUCAACUAAAGAUAAUAAUAUAGAAAAAAAAACCUUGAAAAGAAAAAAAUUAAACUUACCAAGAUGUUGGAAAACAAGAAAAGUCGAAUUUUCAACUUGUUUACAAUCUGCUAAAGAUAAUAACCUGAUAAUAAUGGUGAAGACUUGAGAAAAUCUUGUUGUGGAUAUUUGGGUUAAAAAUGGUUAAGAAGAAAAAAUUGAAAAAAAAAAUAAGAGAAGAACUUGAUGUUUUAAUAUAUUUUUUAGUCAAGUAGAAUUCUCAACAAACUUAACUACAGUCUAGCGGUAAGAUUGUCAUAUGCAAACUUGGAGACUCGAAUUAUGGCUACACCAUUCUUGAUAUUUUGUUGAAAAAUUUAAAAAACCGCCGAUUCACGGUUCUUAACGGUUCACACGGUUCAUCCGGUUCGUCCGAGUUUCAACGGUUCUCCAUGAACUUCCGGCUUUAGCAUUAGACCGGACCGGUGACAUGGCCGGUUCGCGGUCCAACUGGUCGAACCGGCCGGUCCGGUCCGUGUGAGAACCCUGAAAAUAGAUAUAUAAGCCAGUGCAUAUUUCAUUUGCAUUUUUUUUAUUCCUUAAUAAUUUCUAACAUUACCUUUACUUGUUCGCAAUUAAGUACGUAAAAAUAGAUUUAUGAAAAAAAUAAUAUAAUUUUCCUAAGUUAUGAAAUUUCUUGGUUUUGCUAGACUAAAUUAAAAAUCUUUAGUGUUAGAUUAAUUUUUCGCCUUAACAUAAAAUGUUAGAAUACUUAAUUCCUUUAUGCUAAAGUAAUGAUAAUGGAAUCGAUAGAUUUACUAUCUUUAAAUAAAUUAUUUAAGUUCCUAUGAUUAAUUCCAAUUAGUUGCUAAUGUUAAAUGUUAAUAGGAAUUUCCGCGUUAAGAUAAAAAUCAAUGAAUUUUAGAUAAAUAUGAUAUUCCUAUACUAAACAUACUUAAGGCAUGAAAAUUCGAUAAAUAUAUCAUUAUCUUUCUUUAUUUUUAUAAUAAGUGCGUAAAAAUAAUUUUAUGGGCAAAUUGUCGCACUUGUAUGAAAUUAUUAUUUCACUUUACUUUAUAUUACUAAAUCGAUAAAUUUUGUGUAGGAUAACUUUAAUUCUUGAGAAUAAAUAAUUGGAGAUGCGGAUAAUUAAGUUAAUCGCUAAAUAAUGUUAGGAACCUUAAUAUUUAAGUUUAAUCGAUAUUUAUUCGAUAAAAAUGGUUAAGUAUAUUGGGGGGUUAUUAGGCGUUCAAAUCACUCUUGAGGAUAAAUCUUAGAAAUUAAGUUGAGAUUAGAAAACAAAGUGAAAAGACUAAAAGACCCUUACAAUUUCAUACGAAACCAAACGACCCCUAUGACAAAAUUCCCAUCACCGCAACUUCGACCAAUUACAUUUUAACCAAUUCGAUACGCAAACCUUUCGUAAACCGCGGCACCACAAAACCACUUGAUCAAAUUCACACUACAUCUCACAACCAUUUCAGCCGACUCUUUCUCUGCACAAGCCAAAUCCGCAAUCCAUUGCACUCCAAAUACCACGAUACCAACCACUCUACUCUUUCAUUUUUGAUUCACAACAAAACCUCAUUUCUUCCCUGCCUUGUCCGAGAGCAUCCGAGAGAGUGAGAGAGCUGCUGGAAAUUUUUGGUCCUGCCGUGAGUAGAGCAAAGCCAGGAAGGAGAAUCUGCAGGAAGCUACACCAUCUCACCUUCAUCCGCAACCCAAUUCCAGCCGCAACUCAAACCAGGACCACGUCUGAACUUGGCCGAGAGUGAGGGAAGACAUUUCUGGAAAAUUCGUGUGAGGGUUUAGCUAUUAGCUGAGGUAAUUUCUGAACUAAAUAAGUUAAUUGCUAGUGAAUGAAGCCAUAUCAGAGGUUGUAUGGGUUGAUUGUGUAGUUGGAUGAUGAAAUCAAGAGUUGAGAAAAAAAUUCUGUUUUGGCUUGAAAUUUUUGCCGAGAGGUUUCUUGAUUAAUGUAGCCUGAUUUGGUUUAAUGUUGUUAUUUAAGCUUAUAACCAUAACUAGUUACUUAAUCACAAGUUAAUUAGGUUCUGCUUGCGGCUAAUUAGUUAGUUAAAAAAAAAAAAUGAAAUCAAAGAGCAAUCUGCCAAGCAUGUUCAUCCGAGUCAGGCAGGAAAAUUUUUGAAAAUUUUGAUGUUCAUGGUUGUUAUGUGAACUUGAUUUCCAAACUGGAAAUGUUAAUCAGUGGUUAAGCAUAUGCAUAUUGAAUUUGAGCUCCUAACACCUUGACUUAACCAAGGAAAAUCUGGUUUUAAAAAUCAUUUUUAUUUGCUGGAAAAUUUUAGCAAAAGCCGUGAGGUUUAAAUCUGGAAAUUUUGGGGGUUUGUAACCAUGACUUAAACUCAACUCUUGAUCUGGAAAUGUCUAUUGUCUAGUUAAGUAUUUGUAAUUAGGAGUUGAGAAUUUAAAAGCAUGUUUUAAACCAGAAAAUGAGACGAAAACAGAAAAUUUCUUCAUGCACGAUUCACGUAGCUUGUUGAACAGAAUUCUGAAAUUUUUGGAGCGUUUGAACCUGCUAUUCGAAUUCGACUUUCAACCAAAAAUAUUAAUUGGUUAGCCAAAGGUUCACAUGAUGAAGUUGAGAAUCUAAAACCAUGUUUAGCCGAGGAAAAAAUUUGAUUUAUAAACACCUCAAUGCUGGGGAAAAAAAAAUUUCUGGAAUAGCCGAGAGGCUUGAUCAGAAAAUUUCAGUUGUUUUCUUUUGAACUUUAAAUUAUUUCUGGAUUUUUCCUUGGAAUUUUAAUGGUUGAGAAAUGCAGAGAAGUUGUAAGCCUUAAGUUGUGUAAGUCGGUUAGCAAUGAAAAUAUUUGAGAUAUAUGGAAUAGUGGAACCAGAAAAUGUGAGUUAUACAUGUGGAAAUUUUUGUGUGAUAGCCAAAGGGUAAGUUGGAGCCUUAACUGGAUUUUUUUUUUAUUUGUUCCUUGAAACUUGAUGGAUGGAAACGCCUGGAAAAUAUUGUUUUGGAGUUCUACAAGAAGUGUAUGGAUAGGUUAAAUAAAAACAUGUUGGUGUUAAAAGAGAAAAAGGAGUUUUCACAAGUGAAAAACUGAAAUUCCAGAUUUUUGGAUAUCUCUGACCAGUCUCAACGAAAUGGUUAUAUCUUGGUGUGGAAAAAUCCGUUUAAGGCGCCGUCAGUGGCGUUCGAAACUAGAAACAUAGGUCUUUGUCCUGUAAAAAUUUCAUAUUUUUCCUCCAUGUGUACUGUUGCCGGUAAACCCUCAAAGUGGACUGUUUGGACGGAUGUCCUGUUUCUUCGUGAAACUGAAAUUUGGUUUGGAUGGAUAUUUUAGCUUACUUGUGGUAUAAAUUCUUGAUUUAAAUUGUGGAUUGGAAGUAAUUGAUGUUGUCAAGGGCUAAUGAUUGAUGAAGCCUUGGCCAUUUGAAUGACUUUAUAAUUACUACUGGAAGACGAAAGAAAAUUUCUGGAAAGUCUUGGAAGCUUUACUUUUAUUUUUAAUUGCUUAUGAUGGGAUUUCUGAAACCAAGUGCUAAUGAUUGAUGAAGCCUUGGUUGAUUUAUUGAAAAUUUAUUGAAGGUGGGCUCUAUGAAUUCCCACCCUGAAUGGAUAACUGAAUUGCUGAAAUUGUUUAGACAUCUGCGCUACUAUUUUGUAAAACUGUGAGUUGAUAUAAAUUGUUGAAGCACAGGGCUAUGAAUUAACGAGCCCUAGUGUUAUUACGGUUUAAGUUCUAAUUGUGCAAUAUUGAGAAAAUGUGAUUUUUGGAUUGGAAUCGAAAAUGUGAGAAGUUGUACCAACCUUGUGACUCCAAGUAAACGCUUGACUAAGUAAUUGAAAAACAUUUUGCUCUAAGUCUUGAACGGUACAAUUUUAGCAUAGUACGACUAAACAUAGUGUCUAAUAUUAUAUAUAUAUUUUUUUGACUUAAAAACUUGGGCAACAUGACUUUUAACCCUUAAGUUAGACUAGCCUUAUUUAUUUGGGAAAAAUAACUCUCCAAGACUUAAAACCUUAGUUUGUUUCAAUUUCCUUCCUUCUUUAUAAAUCGUUUAAGGCUAGUUGUAACUAAGGAAAAGUUUUAAAGGGUGAGUCUUGAUCACCUUAGCUAUAUGUAUAGAAACUCGCUCGGCAAGAGAGACAUUAUUUUCUUUUAGCAAAACAGCUUUAGCAACGUUUGUAUAAGAAACCUUAUCUUGAAGCCUUAGCAAUAAAUUUUGCAAGCACCACCACUCAAAAGAACUUUUUCUCAAGGUAUACUCUUAGCCUCGAUAUUAAAUAGCUUGCCGACUUAUUUUAAGAAAAUAAUAAUAGUAUUUUCUUUAAGAAAAGUAUUCCAAGGAAAAACUAAAGGAAACAAUUCUUCUACUUUCGUCAAGAUUCAACCUAUGGAGAUUCUUGAUUUUUCUAAGGGAAAGUGAACUAGUAGUAUAUUAGAUAUACCUCUAUAUCUAUAAGCUUAAAGACUGAGUAGAAACUUAUAGUUUCAAAAUUUGGUUUUUAGGAUACUGCGAGGACGCGGAAUUCGAUUCCCAACUUGAUAUCUAAACUUCACUCUGGGUGAGUGUCCCUGCUUGUUCUAUGCUUAACCGUUUAAAGUGCUUUCUUGACUUGAUAUGUGAUAAUUUGAAAAAUUGGUUUCUGAUCCAUCGAAGUGAGCUGUGUGUACUUUAUCGCACUAGCCGUUCGAGUGGUGACUUGUGCAAAAACAUUUUUCUUCUGAAUCCAUAAAUCUAAAAUGUAGUUGCGUCGUUGGGUGAAUCCCUCGACUUCUGUAUCCAACUAUCAUAAAUCUAAAAUGUAGUUGCGUCGUUGGGUGAAUCUCUCGACUUCUGUAUCCAACUACCAUAAAUCUAAAAUGUAGUUGCGUCGUUGGGUAAAUCUCUCGGCUUCUGUAUCCAACUACCAUGACGGGUAUAUCUCGAGUAUACUACGUCCUUAGUCGGUGAGCGGGCCCGGGACAGGGGUAUGAAAGGUGACGGGUUAGGAUCAAAAUGAGUGAAUGUACAUGGUCUCUAAGUAGUGAGAGUUGACGGAGGGUCAACUACGAUGAAUGGUGUUCAAGCGAGGAAAAUGGCUCCUGAGAGCCCCUGUAUCCUACCUUGUGCUGUUAUACGCUUUCCUAACUGUUUAAAUUUGCUGAGUUAUUAUCCGCUGUUUGUUAUUACGUGAUUGCAUGUUUUGGGGCACCACUGAGCUUUAGCUCACCCCACGUUUAUUGUUUUCCUUAACAGGUUCUGGAAACUGAAAGCUGGACACUUACUUAUGUUUUUCUUUUGGAUUGUAUUUGAAUAUUAUGACUUAUUCUGUGGGCUGUAAUGUGUUAUCUGGGAUAAUGUAUUUUUCCUUUUUGGAUUGCCACUUGAAGCUGGAAAAUGUGUAAACCCUAAUUCGAUUACUUGGUUUGUAAGUUUGUAAUAGAGAUUUAUGGAUUUUAUCUAUCCGGUUUGUUACGACUUAUUUCUUUGAUACGUAGCAUGUAGGACGUUUAAGGGCCUCGACUGGUUAUUUUUAUCACUGCUAUCUCUGAAGUUAAUGUGGCUUUAAGGAUGAUCUUAUUCGGGGAAAAUUGUUUUGUAAUAUAUUAGGUUAUUCUUCGAAAGGUUCGGGUUAGAUUGCUCGCAUGAGUCUUGGCGAGAGUUGGGCAGACGGCCCGCCAACCCUUUGGUUCGCCUCAGGGGGAAGUGGGGUCGCCACAGUCCGGUUCUGAAAACACUGCAAUUUUCAACUCUCACAGUUUUGCCCUGCUGCGUCCGGCGCACCUGCCCUUCCAACGGUUUGAAUGGGUCGCGUCAUUUCGUCUUUGAUCUCAGCCGUCUCUUUCAAAAAUUAUAUGUGUUUUUUUUUUCAAAAAAAAUAUUUUUCAAUUAAACAAUUUUUUUAAGUGUUUUUUUUCAGACUUUUAAAGUUAGUUAAUUAAAACCUUCAAAUCUUACGAGGGAGGGAGAAAAGGAAUAGGAAAGGCUUGACGGUCAGAACCUAGGAAGGAAAAGUUUUUGUUCUUAGCUCCGCAUAGUUGAUGCUAUGUUACUAAAACAUGAAAGAAUAUGAAUUGAUAGUUUUGGUAGAAAAAUUUUAAAAUAUUUUUUUAAUACAUUUUUCAAACGUCAUUGUAUUUCACAUAUAUUACAUUAUUACAUUAUAAUUUUCUACAAAAAAAAAUAAACUUAAAAAGAUGGCAAUCCAAAUGAGACUGAAAUCAAUUUUUAUGUGUAUGACUUCUUAAAACGAAAUUCCUAAAGUAUAUAUAUAUAUAGGCUAAGAGUUUAUGUCUGAUAAAAGAGGGUGCAAUUCGACAAUCUUUCAGAUUUUUUUAUAGCCGUCCAAUUGAAAAUUUGAAACUGAGUUAUCUAUAUAAGAUAAACAUAAAAGAAAAGAUUUAAGCACUAUUUAAAUUGUAAACUGAACCAGAGUCAAUAGAUUAAGACCCGUUAAGAAUUUGGUGUGGUCUGCCUUUUGGUGGACAGUUUUACUGCCAUUAAUCCAUCACUUGUUUAUCCCUCUUUACAUUUCAGUUUCUGCGUGAAACUUGUAAUUAACCUUCUAAUACCAAAUCAAUAUGUGUGUAGACUGUACACAUUGAAUAUUAUUUGAGAUAAUUUUUAUUAAAAAAUACUAUAAUAUAUUUUUUAUAUAAUGUAUGUAAUAUAAAAAUAAUUAAAAAUAUAUGUAUCAUACGAGCAAAUAAAUUUACGUAAAUAAUUUAUUAUCCAGACACAGUAGUCUUUACCGUACGCCUGGAAAUUGGAAUGGGAGGGGACGAAAAGAAAAAGCUUUGACACAGUGACAUGCAAUGGCUCCUCACAUCUUUUCUUCUGUGGAUGAACGAAAAAAUCCAUUUGCGUUUCGAUUGACAAGGUACCAGCUAUCCGACAUAGACGGGUUAUUCUUGCUUCGAACACAAGCAUUUCCAUAACUAUUGAUGAUGUCUCUUCGGGGACAUCCGAUAACUAUUUGAUGGUGGGGUUUUGAUGGUUUCUCUGCCUAAUUUUCUAGAUACAAAAUGAUACGAAAGUGAUUCUUGUAACGGGUGUUAAUUUGGCUCGGCACUCGUAAGCAUAUUUAAAUUACACUUAAUUUAUCAUGUAAUUUCACACAUUCACAUUUAUUAUUACUGUAUUUAGACCAUUUUUUUUCACAUUAAUUUUAAUUUUGUAAAAAUAUAACAUCUGAAAUCUCUCUUAACGAGUGCUCCUACGUUCAUAUAAAAUAAUAAUUAAUGUCUUUUGGUAUGAUAGUUUUGUCACAAGUACCUAAUAUUGCAUUUCAAGAUUCUUAAAAAGGAUCUACAUGUUUGAUGUUACUCUUCAUCCUAGUUAAGAUUGAGGUCCUGAAACUUUUUAAUCAACCAAGAUUCAAGGUUCUACAAAAUAGUGGUGGAAAAAAAUGGCAUUGCAUUUGUAUAAUCUUCCGUGUUCUGGGUGCUCCAAUGAUCCUUUCCAUUAGCAACUAAUUUUUUUUUUUUGAAAAAAGAUUACAAUUCAAACAAACCCAAUUGUUUGACAAAAUUUCUCAACUGCUUUGUAAUUCCAAGAAUUCUCAAGACCAACAUAGAGUUUAAAGGCGAGAAUCACAACUCUGACAGUAAAGGAUUAUAUUAAUUAGUGCGUUUGGAUUGUUGAAUUAUCUCAAAUAAUAUUUCACUUCCAUCAUAAACAUAUUUUUUCAAUAUACUUUUUUUUAAUAUUUUCAACUGCCUUUUUAUCUCAUAUACAUCACAUCACAAAAGUGUUACGGUAAUUAUUCCAAAUAAUACUCUAUCCAAACACUUAAACUCGGACCGGAGAGUGAAUCGAAAAAUUCAUCCGAUUCACGGUUCGACCGGUUCAAUUCCAGUUCAAAGGCUUAACAAAUUUUUAUUCAUUUUAGUAUUAAAAAUAUUGAAUAAAACUAAAAUAUUUAUCUUGGAGACUAAAGAUUUAAUAAGUACCGGUUGAACCUCUCAAUUUUUAUCAGUUUUACUAGUUCAAUCGACUCUUGACCGAGUUUGACUGAUUCAAUUGAUUUUUUAGAUUAUUAAUUGAAUUGGAUUGGAGGCAUAGACAGUUCGUGAUUCGAUCAAUCGGUCUGGUCUGAUUUUCGAAACACUGCUGCAAUAAAGAAACUAAAUGCAGCCUAAGGGCUUAUCGAAUGACAAGUAAAACAUCUGACCGAGUUAACCGUACAUCAAAGAGUACUGAAGAAAAAAAAAAAGAUUUCAUCCCAAUUUGCACGUUAUACAUGCACUUAAGAUUAUUAAGAAAACACUGAGGAUUACAACUAUCAAAGCAAGCUAGGUUGAGUUGCUAACUUUACCAAGAACAUAAAGCAUGCCGUGAACAUUAUUAAUAUAUAGUUGCAAAAUCUUUUAUCUUGAAAUUACUGAUGCACAUGCUGUAUUAAAUAGCCAAAUUGUUCAGAUAGACCAAUAAUUCACAAUGAGCAGAAUAACAGGUCGUCAACCUAGGAAGUAGUAAACUAAAAGUCGUUUUUAAAUAAUUAACUCAAUACCAUGAGUUAAUUGGACACACACACACUAUAUCUUAAAUAAGUAAAUAAUUAGUGUCGAGGGAGAGGAUAAUUAGUAGGUAGAGAGAGUGAAUAACUUUUUCUACAAGAGUGAGUAUGGAAGAACAUUCCAAUCAUAGAGAAAUGCUUUUUAAUUUUCCAUGAAAGAAGACUUCACCCCUCGAAUGGGUCUUUUCUGUGCCAAAUUUUGGUGGGAAUAUUUGGUGUUUCCCAGCAACCUUUUCUGACAAUCGCGUACAUACUUAUGUUGACUGAAAGGUGAAAAAAAGGUUUUAAAAAAUGGUUUUGAAAAUGAAGUGAGGAGAAAAAGAUAGAACUUGAAAAGGGCAGGCUGCAUUUUGAAGGGUUUGUAUGCUAUUCACUUCCACCUUCAACUUUAUGUUGGGAAAAGCACAUGGAGGCAUCAGUACACGAGUCAAAUAUAGCCAUUCGGUGAUGUUACACAUUAGACUAUCAUUACAAAUCAAUUUCCCUUGUAUUGAGUUGAUGUGUAGAAUGUUUCCCUUUGUAGCCAAAUUAGAGAUUUUUCGGUUUGAGUUACAAAUUAGUAGUGAUUCAUAUAUUGAAGAAGUAUUAACGCGCUUGUGGUGUUAAAAAUCAUCUCAAAAUGACUAUAAGAUUUGACAAAGCAAUUCUCGAAUUAUUUUGGGGAUAUAAUACUCAUUUCUUCAAUCACAUAUAUAUAUAUAUAUAUAUAUAUAUAAUUGACGAGUAUAUUUAACGAGUGCACAUCAGACACUUGUUACGAUGUAUUCUAGUGUAAAAUUUUUAAGCGCUUGGCAAGUGUCAUUUCCGUUCAACUGGGAAAUGGGAAUCAUAGCAUGCAAAAGGUACCAAACAAGUGUAGCAGAUUUUUUUUUUUUUUUUCGCAACGGUAGAUGUCCUAUAACCUAAUCUAACCUAAUUUAGGGGGAAGGGAUAAAGGGAGAUGGUCAACUAAAACCAAUCACAUAUUAUGGCAAAUUUGAGGGAGGCAGGGGUUAAACCCCUGAUUCCAGCAUCACUAAAGAGGGUGAUAACCACUGGACCAAAUUGACAGUGGCAAACAAGUGUAGCAGAUUGCUUAUGUUAAACUUGGAACUCUCAGUCAGUACUGUUGCAGAAAUUCUAAAGCACAGUCGAGUCCAAGACACAACAUGACGGUAUAACCACCUCCACAUAAUUAAUUAAUCAAAGCAGUUUAAUUGACGGGACAUUUUUUUAAGCCAAAAACAAAAAAAAGUUAGCUCGAAUUUCUAGGCAAAAAGCAAAAGAUACCCACCUAAUUCCUCACUUAACUUUUUAAGAACGAAUUUUAUACAUUUUCUUUCUGGUAGAAAAGGAUGUGUCUGUGUACCUCAUAUUGGCGGUAUAAUACUCGUCUGGUCUACAAAGUCUAUAAUGAUAUUCUGAGGAGGACCGAGCAGACUGCUCAUCUCAUCUUCAUAUAAUUGCAUUGUACUAUUCUAAAACAAUUGCAAAAUUUUUCUCCCUUGUUUUUUUGUCGGCAAUAAGAAUAAAAUUGGAAAGUAUAAUGCACUGCAGUACCCAAUCAAUGCUCUUCUUUUAUCCAAGAAAAUGAAGAAGAAAGAACAGUCAAAGGUGGUUGUUUGUCUGUUUGUUUGGAUGGAGUAUUAUUUGAAAUAAUUACUGUAACACCUUUUGUAAUAUGACGUAUGUUAGAUAAAAAAGUAUGGUUGAAAAUAUAAAAAUAUGAGUUGAAAAAUAUAUUUAUGAUACAAGCGGAAUAUUAUUUAGGAUUUACCGUCUGGUAAAAACGACAGCAGUGCAGUGGACUAGACAUUUUCUACUGACUCGUAGAAGUUAAAUUUGGAAUUUUGGUAGUCAAGUGGAAUAAUACUAGUAAGGUAAUAGAUAUGUAUGUAGAACCAAGUAAAACUUGGAUCCAUUCAAAUCACUAGAAUGUUUGUUAGAGCAGCAUCAUUUGCUGUUGUGGAUCAAUCGAUAAUUAUAUAUGCUGUUGUGGGUUCCGCUUCAGCUAAUGUCAAGAUUAACUCUCUUUUUAAGUGCAAUUUAAGUAACAAAGAAGUUAAAAGAACGAGAGAGGGAGUCAGAUAGAAAUUGGAGUGACAAAGAGGUAGAAAGUGUUCCAUAGCCCUCAAGGAAUGCUCCAACCCUAGUAAUGCAUAUCCACUUCAGUUAUCUUUCUUCCGCGAGCAAUUGAUUACUAAUCAAUUUCCUUGAUCUUUCUCGAUUUGUCAUAACCGAAAAAGAUGUGUGCUCAGCUCAUUUGAGGGGAAAUUAGCAUACAACUAUCAAAGACAUAAACUAAUAACAAUUCUAGUUUCAUCUUUUGAGUUAAUAAAUGACUAGAAUGGCAAGUAUAAAGACAUGGGAAAGGAACAAAACCAACUACCAUCAGCCAACCAAAAAUGCAUUAAACUUUGCAGAAACCUAGCCAAAUGAAUUUAAAUGUCGUAUGCCAAAGUAUCCCUUUUAUUUUCUUUUACGUGUAGAGCAUAAACAUAUAUAGUUUUGUCUAUCUUAAGCAGUCGAGAUAUUUCUAAUUCGACUCUCAAGUUCUUAAAAUUUUUUGUUUAAAAUAUGCAUAUACAGACACAGUCGGGAUAGGAGGAUAGAAUUGUCGUGUGAUUGGUGCAAGACGAUCAAGAGGCUGUCUUUACCCCCGCAUUUGGCGCUGAUGUGUAAUUCUCAGUUCUCCCGUAGAUGGACGGAUAGAUACUCUACUCCCACUAGUACGUACUAUAUCUAUAUGUGCUGCGUCGAGCCAUCUGACUGACUGACUUGUUGAGUGUACAAAACAAAUACCACUAAAAAACCCAGUCAGAUCAAAAUAUCAAAUGUGUUUCUUGGCCUUUGGGUCUCCUCCAACCCCGUAGGCUGCUCUUGGCCUUUUCUACAUUUUUUCUCCCACUCCACAGUCUAUACACCCACUCUUUUGGAGGGCGGGGGAGGAAAAUGUAACACGAACAAAUGUGCAAGUAGCAUGCAAUUGACUACAGUACAACAAACAAGUCCUUAUAAAAUGACCACAAUUAUCACUCCUAUUAUUAAUUACACGUUCCUCUUUUAGGCCUCCUCCACCCGACUCCCCUUGUCUUUCUCCCUUCCAAGGCUUCGACUUUAUCCAUCAUCAAUUUAACUUGCUACAACUGCAGCAGCACUAUGGAAAGCCAGAGGGGUCCUCUUCUGAAUUGGCCUUACUUCUACCAAGGAAAGGUUAGGCAUUAUGUAUAUCUUCAAUCCAUUCAUUUGAUCUGAUGAGAAUUGUAAUGUGUACUAAAGAUGUUUGUUUGGCUGAAACAGGGCAUGGAUGAACUGAGGCAAUCACUUCUGCUGACUACUAUGGAGCUGGAGAACACGAGGCUAAAAGCACAAGAGGAGCUCAAAAUGAGAGAUGAUCAGCUAUUUCAGCUCAAAGAUUUGCUCUCAGCAGAACCAUCAAAGAAAGGGAUGAAGCACAAGAACAAUGCCAAAGACUCGUGCUUGAUAAGCUACUGCUCCAGCAGCAGCAGCUGAUGCUUCACGCCAGAAUCAGCAAUCAGCACCCCUCUCUGGAAUUUCAAGCAUCGAAGAUGAGCCCAGAAGAGGAGGAGGAGGAAUGGACUCCAACAACGGCUUUUCUUCCUCCGACUGCGAAGAAAGCAUUGUUUCAUCGCCAAUUAUUGAGCAAAAUCCGCCGCAAGAAUUGACUUAUCAGCUUCAAGUUCAACCACAACAUCCCACAGCAGAAUUAGACCCAACAUUGCCUAUUUUGACAGACAGGCCAUUGCCUGAAAAAGGGCAGUUCUUGCAAGCUGUUAUGAAAGCUGGGCCGUUGCUUCAGACACUUCUUUUAGCUGGCCCUCUCCCACAGUGGCGCCACCCCCCACCACCACUCGACUCCUACCAGAUUCCACCGCCACCUACACCUCCAACACUAUCGGGUCACUCCCUAAAUCAAGAUUCUUUACUCACCAUUGCUGCCUACAAUAGUAACAUUAACAACUGUGGCAGAAUGAACAGGAAAAGGGGUUACUUUGAGGGCUCUGAUUCUUCAACUGAAGCCAAGUAUCAAAGGCUCGUUCUUCAAUGACUAGUAGUGCCGUUAAUCUACUUCCACCCCAUAAAGCAGAGUGAUACAAGUAGUUCUUUUCUUAGAGGAGGCUUGGAGUACGAUUUUGGAACCUGGGGUCAACUGAUCAUAUACUAGCAUUCUGUACAUAGUUCAGAAAUUCUUGAGUUAAGAGGCUGAAAAGAUCAGAGUUAAUCAGCUGUAGGAGAAGACUAGGGAGACAGGGAUGUUUGUUGUGGUCCUGUUUUUUUACUUUUCAGCUUGUUUCUGCCUCAGUAUUGGUUGGUUUGUCUGCUUCACCAGUGUCAAAAUUCCCUCUACCUUGUGCAAAGGGGAUUUGAUUUUCCAAUAUAAUUACAAGGGGAUAUUUUGCAGAUUCGACGUGCAAUUCAAAUAUUGUUGAGUUUGGUUAAGUAUGCAAGUAAUAAUGCAACAAUUUUGUCGCUCAUAAUUUAGUCAUGAUGCAGAUAUAUGAUGAAUAAGAAAUGCAUGCUUGUGAUUUGCUCAAGCGAAAGGGGCUAUCAGCAGAAUUAACUUGACUAGCAUGGUCGUACAAACGUUCACUCAACCUGCAAUGUCUGAUGUUCCACCAGCUAUAGUUUCUUGACAAUGUGUCAUGCAGUGGGAGGUGGGAAAAUAGAGUGGGGAAAGAGGGGUUGUGGGGGUUUGGAGGAACAUCAAAAUGUUUAUGUAAACGGAACAUCAAAAUGUUUUUUUUUUUUUUUAAAAAAAAAGAAGAUCAUGAAAAAUGGUAUUUUAGAACGUGGAUUGGUUACAUUGGAGGAUAGCAGAAGGCCAUAGCCAAGAGCCGCUAGGUCCAGGAGAGCCUUGUUGUCGGGUCGAGUGGUUCCCACAAAUCAGAAUCAGGAUCUACUACUUGUGUGUGAUUUAUUAUUUUAAGUGGAUUUGAUGCAUCUCAAAUCAUUUUUAGGUACAUUUUGAUCCAAAGUUUUCUUUAAUACUGCUGCUACUGCUUUCCCCAUUUCUCCAUCCACCCCCACUCCCCUCAUAUUUGGUUAGCUAAUUCCAAAAAGUUCAGUAAUUUUCUUGUGCCGGUCAAUUACAGAAGUCCAAAGCAAAGGCAAAUACAAGUGUGAGUGCGUGCUGCAGUUUCUUUCUUAUGUUCACAGGACAUCCAAUUGUUAAUAGACUAAUAGUAUGGACGCAGGGAAUAAUCCAACCUCGUCCUUUGGGCUGCUUCUAAGUGUUGCCAUUUCAGAAUAUAGACUUCGGAAGUUUUCACUGCCGUUUCCUAUGGUCCGAACACAAGCUACAAAGGCCAAUUUUGCAUUUUUCAUUUCUCUUCCUUGUCACUAUCCUUCUAAAAACAACCAAUUUCCAGCUCAUGGGAGUGCGGAGCAAGGCAAAGAAAGAGCCUCUACUCAGAAGAAAAAUGAAGAGUCGAGUCGAGUCAAGAGUCUAAGGUCCGAUAUUUUUAGUAGAACCAUAGAAGAUCAGCUAUCAGACAUUUUUAGCAGUGACUUGCUACAUUUGAUCAUGCGCAAGUGUGAAAGAGGAUAACGGUUUAGGCAUCUUGCAAAUGUUCUCGACUCCUGGGGUAGACACUUUAGACCAGAAACUCUCUUCUCUUCGUUGCAAAAAUUAACGGCAGAGUUUCAAAAAAUCCAAUCCGCCCUGGUGGCAGAAGUUUCUGCUACCUGAUGAUGACUAGAAAGAGUCAGAUGGAAGUACUAACGCGAUUGCGGUUCUUUGACUUCAAAAGUCUUUUAACGAACUCUAGCAGCCUCCAAAGGGAACGCUCUCAAGCCUGAGACCCAUCCUUUUCAAUCCCAUACCUAACCUACCCCCAUCCAUGCCUAAUGCGCGUUUAACCAACAUCAUUGCCAGGUUUACUAACGUUUCCAAAUCCCACAGCAGGCACAGCAAGUAAUCAUUGGUCCCAAGAACCCAAGUCUGGUGCCCCAAAGAAAAUUUGAGAAUUGAUAGAGAAAGACAAUAUCGUGCUAAUCACCCCAGACGUAGAUAUGAAACUGUGAAGAGGCAUUCCAGUUGUAUCACAACUGGUAAACUUGAAAUCCAAAACCCAACUGCGUUUUCCCGUGGAAACGCGAUGUCUUCUUCCUCUUGACAACAUAUGCACAAGCAGGUCAAGUAAAUACUCGGUCUCCAGCUGUAACAUGUGCCAUUUUCUAGAACACAUUCAGACCAAGUAAUAACCUGAGGGAUAAUGCUCCCACCGUAUAAGCAACAGUCUUGGAAGUCCGUCUUUCUUUUUCUUUUUUUCCGCCUUCUUUCCUUUGCCCAGAUAUAGAUCAAAUUAUACAUGUAACAGCUGGAAACUGCUAAAGCCAGAUUUUAAAAUGAAUCAACAGAUUAUAUGGGAAAACUGGAACAGCAAAUAAAAGGUUCCGAGUAUUGCAGCGCAUCUCUAUCUUUCAUAGCAAUAGAAGAAAGUUUACAGCAGAUAGGAGGGUCUGCAACUUGAAAACCAGAACUGUCACCUCUCGAAUUUUGGGUAUCAGUAUUGGAAGGAUGGGAAACCAGCAUUAGAAUGAUGACAAACUUAAUACCAAAAUGGCAAAAUCCUAAAUGUGUGCGUGUGUGCGCGCGUGUGAGAGAGAGAGAGAGAGGGAAUCCCCACCAAACAAACACACACCACCACAAAAAAAAAAGUUGCAAGACACGGAUAUGAUUGUGAAAUAAAUACAGGGUUUUUAUCUAAAGAUGCAUGCAAUCAAAAGUAUCUGGACAGGUUUUAACAUUAUUUUGGUAGCUGUGACUCAUAAAUCAUAAUUCAAGAAAUUAAAUGGGUUUUAAAUGACAUGUGCCAUCGGUUAUAUUACUCGCACUGUGAAUAUUACUUAGAUCAGUGAAACCAAUGCAUCAAAUUUGACAAUAACACAAGUUUGCAGAGGGCACGACUUACUUUUGUGGAUGCCCAGACAUGCACAAUAGGCAUCAUUUCUAUAAAUGAACUAAAAUAUCCAACUAAUUGCUUUCAUUAUUGCUCAUCAUCAUCGCGGUUACUUUGAUUGUGUUUCUGAGCUCUAUAAAUAUCUGCUACCUGCAAUCCAACAACAAUUCAGAAAGAGGCCCAGGCAACAUUUCAUUAAUGUGCGAAAGAUUAUCAGUGAAUUAAUAAAGAACCAGCAAUCAAAAGAUUUUUCUUUACCAUAUCAGCAGAAGAGGCAUCCUCUGGAUUCUUAUCUUCUCGAACCCGUAGUAAACGUGGAAACCGAAGAGAAAUUCCCUUUGGAAAAUUAAAAUUAACAAGGUGAAGGGAUAUCAGAUUUGAAUCACAGGAACAAAAUUUUUCAUUGUCUAAGAAUAACUCACGAUCUACAUAACAAUAAUCUCAACACCCGGUUUACCACUAGUUUGGUAUGUCAGAGGAAAAAAAAGUGUCACGAUGUGGCAUGAAGUUCAACAGCCAUAUACACUUUCCUUUGGGGCACGACGAGGGGCAGCACUCCCUCCAAAAUUGAAUGAAGUCUAAAGAUUUUACCAUGUACAUAAUUUAUUUUCAAAGUAGUCCUUUUUGACAAAAGGGUUUGCCCCUUCUAAUGUUUUAAAAAUCUUAUAGCACUUAACAGAGCACCGCAGCCCCCCCACCCCCCCAACAACAAAAAAAACACCCAGCGGCUAACAAAAAGUCUUGGUUUUGCCAAUGCUUGCAAAAAAGGAUAGAAUGAUAGAAAAAGGGAGGAGAAAAUGACCAGUAAAAUUAAUCUUAAGAGCUUAAUCAAAGUAUGAUGGAUUCACUGCCAGGAAGUUCAGAUGUAUUCUUUAACUUAAUUGUACACGCUUGGAAGUAAACAAAUACCUUGUCUGAAUCCACAAUACCAGUAGCAGCACGAUGAACAGGACUGAUAGUCAGAUCAGCAGCUUUUACCUCCCAAACCUGAAGGAGUAUGACUCAAAAGAUCACUGUAUGAGGCAGAACAAUAAUCUGCAUAAAAAAGGAGCAUGCUAGAAGAAAGUCUAUAUUCACAAGGAACGGGAUUCCCACAUGUACAACACGAAGAAUGCUAAUAAAGCAUCCAACUUAAGUCUAAAAAAAUGGAUGUAUCAAACAAAACCCAUAGAGCAAGAAAACUUCGCUCCCAACAUUUCUUCCUGAGUACAGAAACACUCUGGAAAAGAAUAUCACAAAACAUUGGCAUAGAAUUAUUGCAUAAUUCAUUACGAUCAAUGAGAAUCUCACAAAAGAAUAGACAUUGAGAGAUUAUGUGAGCCAGCUGGCACUGAUGUAAAAAGCAGAGUAAUGAAAAAAAGGAAGAAAAUCACAAACAAUGAACAGAAAAGGAAGCAGAGGAUAACUUAUACUACCUCAAUAGGUUCAAACCAUACAUCUGGAUUGAUUGUAUCUGAGUACCGGUAAUAAGACUGGGAUAUCAUUUAAAUCCAGAAACAUGUCAGAAUCCGUAUAAGGUUUACAGAAAUACAAAAUUCUUCCUAUUCAAUGAGGAAGUAAAUGAAAUACCUUUGGCUUGGGAAUAACUUUAGAGCGCAAGCUGGCAGAGCGCUCUUCAAGCACAGCUUCAGAAAAUCCAGUGCCUAAGCACAACCAAGAAGUUUCUUAUCACUUGAUGUCAAGGGAUGUAUGUAUUUAGAGUUUAGACAAAGUAAUUGAAGUUUCCUAUCAAGGUAAAUUUCACAGUGAACCAUUAAGUAGGCACAUUACCAAUUUUACAUAUGCUCUGGAAUUCUUCGUUGUUGACAUCAUAACAAGCAAGGAGAAAGGCUCCAUAAACACCUAAAAAUGGUUCAACAAAGUUAUGAAACCAACUUCCAAUAAAUGCAGCAAUACAAACCCAAUUAAAAAGCAAAAGAGUAUACACUGGUAACUAUAUCUGAAGCUAGGGUGAAGAAUGUCAAGCAUAGUGACACAAAUCUGAAUCUGAGCCAAAAUAAGCGAAUAAUCACUUAGUGUCCUCUCAAAAAUAUGAUAUGUCAAAUUACCAGUACGUUUUCCCCGGCCAUGGAAAGCAGCAAUGGGAACCAAAUCCAGUGAGUCACCCGUACUGCAGAUCAUAUAAGGUGAAAAGUAAGUUUUCAUCCUUGGUUGCUUUUCAAAUUUCUGUAGUAAUCCUUUCUCGUCGAGGCUACUACAGCAUGCCAUGAUCAUUCAGUUUCUAUAUUUAUGUUUGACCUUCUUCUUGACAUUCCAAAUCAAUUACUCGGGGCAGAAGUUCAGCAAAUUUAAGGUUGAUCUAGUAUUUCAUCCAUCCCUUUAAAUGUGUGCUUGCUACCAAUCCAGUAUUUCAUCAAUCCAUUGAAUGUAAAUUUGCCAUUUUUUGGAUGUAUCGAUUUACCUAAAAGGUAAAAUUGCUGAAUAAUUAUGCCCCAAAGGAAUAGCCAGUGCUGUGAGUUCAAUGCACAUACCUAUCCAUGUAAUCCUUUUUCAACUUCAGCCAGUUAUUUGACCGCUUGGAAGGCUCAUACGUGGCAUCUUUCUUCAAUGUCUUAAUUAUCAACCCCUCACAACUGCAAAGAUGGAUAGACAAAAUAACAAACAGUUCUUGUAGAAUCUGUAGAAACAUUUUUGUUGAUUCUGCAGAAAGAAGCUCCAAGCUAGGAGCCCUCAGGUGAAGCUAAGCACAUCUCAACUUUGAAGCCAGAAAAAAGGGAGAAACUACUACUUCUUAGACAAAUAAUAUUACAUUUCACCAUCUAUUAAUGCAGGGAAAAAAAGGGAAAAAGAACUCCUUAGACCACAGCACAUUAGGAACAUAUAGCAAGAAAAAAUGACAGAUGUACAGAGAAAAAACUGAAUUAAAUUAUCUAACUAGUUGACUUUUCUGACCAGCCAAAAUUCUAGUGCACUAGAAGCCAUAAGGUUGGAUGAUCUUAUAUUGCACUAGGCAAGCAUAAGAUCAUCGAAUACAACAGGUUUGACCUAACAGAGAGAAACUGUAUUGUACAAAACUUUGUCCACAGGCAAAAGUUGACAGAUAUAAUAAUUACGAUUCCGCCAAGUGCAGAAGUCAAAGAUUAAAAAAGAAAAAUUCUAACAGUAAAUAAAGUAGAUUAAGCCAAUUAGUAACAAUACAAUAAGGCCACGACAGGAAAAUGAUCUUGAACUCUGCAAAGAAGAGUUACCUGGCAUCAACAGCAGCUUCAAGGAACUUCUGUAUUUCCUCAAGAUCAUUUGAUGUUACUGCUGUAGCAAAUUGAAAAAAGCCAGGUUCUUCCUCAAAUGACUCGUAAAGAUGCUGCAUAAAACCAGUCAUAAAGAGUAAAGGAAAAUAACAUGACUACUAAAAGGUCGACAAUCAGCAUUAAAGAUAAUAGCCUGAGACAUGUUUACUGAGCAAGCACUGUCAUUUGGAUUCUUUUUAGUUUAUUUCAUCGUGGGAAAAGGAGAGGAGAGUCACAAGACGUUCUUUAUGCGAUACUCAAAACAUUUUGGUCAAACCAUUUUAGUAAUUUGACUUUAAAUAAAAAAUCCAAGAGUCUUUUUACCCAACGCUAAAAGCAGAUAAAGAUAUUAACAUCAUUGAACAAAAAUUAGCAUACCUGCCUUCGACUGUCAAGCUGUGCUUGUAGAAGAGGUUGGCCAUUGAUAUACAAGAUAUCAAAAGCAUAUAUGCAAACACCAACCUUUAUUUCACUCAAGACCACAUUUUUACGAGCCCGUGUGCUGAGGACCUGCCACCAAUUCAAUACUUUUAAGUCUGAAUUUGUAAUACCAUUCUUACAACUCUAGUCAUAUUAGUAGCCCAAUUAGUAAUGAAUCUACCCUUAGUCAUAUUCAUCAAAAUUUCACCACCUUCAAAUAUUUUAGAGCAGACACUGGACAGAUCAAAUUGGCCGAAACUUUAAUACCUCAACAGUCAAAAAUCUCCAGUUCCUAUCAAAGAAAAUCAAGAAUUUUAUGACAUCAACUGACUCAAAUGAAGCACCUGAAAUAGAUGCAAGAAAGAACUUGCACGUGUAGUUUUAAGAUAUCCCAUAGGGGGACUGAAGGUGUUGGGAAGCAUUUCAUGGGCCAGGCCCCAGGCAUGCCCCAUUUAAGUUCAUGAUGAGAUAGCCCAUAACAGAUAGCCCUAGGAUUUUGAGCAUGCUCAAUACCAAGAUGAUUCUUACAGCACCCAAAGUUGACGAGUUCACAAACGAAAAACAAAGAUGACUCGACCACUUUCUUCCCAAUACAGGAUUGAAGGAGAUUUGUUACUUUGCCAAUUUAAUACUUCAGCAUUGAUUGUACAUAAAUUAUUAACAUUGUAUAUGUUGUUGUCAUAUGCCACAACAAAGAUCAUGAAGGCUACACAAUAAGCAAUGCUAGAGCCAGAAUGGGAGACUUAAAUCAGUUAGCAAUCGAUUUUUCUAUUUAACUUCAAUUGUUCUGAUGUGCUAGCAUAGUUAAAAGGACCACUUCAGCAGGCCCAUGACAAAAUCAGAUUUACAAAGAUCUUGCACUUAGGCAAGCUCAAUAUUACAGAAGUAAACAGUUCACCUGGAAGGGGAGAAUUUUUUUCUUCUCACGAUCAAAUGCAACAAUUUCACAAUCAAGAACAAAUGAGGUUACAGACGGCCUUUUAAACCUGCAAUAAAACAGCUAAAUGUCAGGAAAAUUGAGAGAGAUUUUCUGGCAGACUUGUAAUGUUAGUAGGGAACAACUAGUCAUUCUUAAAAAUAAGCUCUACUGAUAUACUCUCAUACCCAACUAUGUAAAUUAUGUUUCUGCUCAUUAAGAAAGCAAUAGACUACAAAAACCCAUCAUGAGAAGGCCCACCACAGCAGUGAAAGUACAGUGCUAAGCUCAGACAGCCUUACUCAACCAAGUAAAGAGACUCUUCCUGUUCAUCAAACCAUUAACCAGCUUGUGACAGCAUGUUCCAAAUCAAAGUUUGAGUGGGCUACAAUAAAAGUACCUUGAAAUUGCAUCCACAACAUCAGGAUACUUUCCAGUGUUUCUUUCUGCAUUUCGACUAUAUAUCUCCACUGUACCAUCCUCCAUGUAGUGAAUCUGCAGGACAUGGUUAGACAAACACACAUCAUCAAGACUGUGAAAGGAAAGGCAUAUAACAUAGGCGUCAUGUCUAGUUUCUUGCUACCUGAGCACGUUCUCCAUCGUACUUGUAUUCACAGGUGAAUUCAAUAUCCUGAAACUUAUCCAAUAUUUCAGAAACUCCCUUAGUUGGUUUUGCUAGCAUAGGUCCAACAGGAACACCAGGUGAAAAGCUACAUGUCUUGGGAAGAUCCCAUACACCAUCAGCAAGAAGAGCAGAGAUUAUUUUAUCAUAGACUGGAAUUACCGAGUAAACUUGUUUCACGAUUUUAGCAGCCUGAGGGAAGGAAGGCAAUUUCACAACAUGUUUAUGCAAUAAACAAAAAACUCUCUUAAAUUUGCACAUAGUAUUAGCAUAAUAAUAAAAUCUAAUUAAAAAAUUUAUUCAAACUCUCUCAGAAGCUUAAAUUCAUGCCAAGAUACCUCUUCUAAAGAAGAAUCUAUAUUUGCAGGAGUUGAAGAUUGCUUAUCAGCAUAAACUGCAGCAUGGCCCAAAGCAGCUAACAGAGUUUGCUCAGCUAAACCAAUGCGCAGUUUAGCCUGCAUGUAGAGUUCAAGAAUAAUUUUCAGGGAUUAAAGGUGCCAAUUUGUGAUAUUAGAUCUUCAAUUGUCUCACCUGGAGCAGACGAAUCAAGUACUGAGGUUCACAAUCUGUAGCAGCAACCAGUAGUGCCUUGAUAUGAUUCUUUUUCUUCUCUUGACUAUCCUUACCAGAUUCCUAACGCAAAUCACGUAGAGAUACAGUUACAAAACUAAAAGAAGUAAACCGUUGUUAUGCUCUUCUCUAGAUCAAUAAAUUAUAAGUUAAUAAACAAGCACCAAUUCAUGUGCAUAUCUCGGCUGAUUACCCAUCAUCCCAAAAAAAAAAAGCCUCUCUCUCUCCCCCCUGAUGUUCAACUUUUCUCACCCGUCUCUCUCUCUUCCGUUUCCUCUGUAAUCUUUAUCUUAUUCUCUCUCUCUCUCUACCUAUGCUUCUCUUGCCCCCCUCGCAACUUUCACUUUUACCUCCUAACCCAUCCUCUCCUCUACCGGUCAGCCCUCCCUUCAACAUGCAAUGACCAUGGAAGCCAAGCUAGAGAUAGAUAAUUGAGGAUUUUUUUUGUUGGUCUCAUGGUAGAUCAGCCUUUCCUACAUAUUAAUAGUGUUGUGGGGAUGUUGUUGGGAAUUCAUGAUGGAUCAAAGUUUUGAUUAACAGUUUGUGGUGAUUUUGGUGGUUUUGCAGAUAUAUGAAAUUUUGAAAAAAUAGUGUGCUGUCAUUUGAAAUUGGUGGGGAUUAGUGGGAUGAUUCAAAGAGUUGAAAACAUUUCUAGUUUGGCAAGAAUGGAUGUGAUGUUAGCGGCUGCUUUUGUUGUUUGUUGUUGGCUGAGUUUUUUUUUUUUAAUUUCGUUGUUGGCUGAGUUCGGUGGCGGUCUAGUUGCAGUCAUACAGAGUCCAUUUGGGAAGAAAGAUAACAAAGUUGGCAAAAGAGGAAAGAUAACAAAGUUGGCAAAAGAGGGCAAAGAAUUAGCUAGACAUACUAAAAAAAAAAUUCACUGGAUUCCUAUUUCACCACAACAAACCAAACAUACGAAAAGAAGUUGCUAAAACCCAUUACGAUUGAGGACCCUUGAUACUCAUUGCUAUUGCCAUUCCAGAAUACCAACCAAACAGGUAGUUAGUGUACUCUAGCUCCAAAACAUUUCAAAAAAUAGAUUUCAAGUUUCAUGUAUGGAAACCAAUAAAGGCAGCUAUGAAUAUCUUAAGGAAUAAGGCAAUCCAGUUUAACUCUCCUCUACAGCGAAUAAGAUCAAAGCUCAUCAUCGAAGUCCAUGAAAUAGGAAAAUUCCCAGGCACCUUAGCAAUAAGGCGAAAUGUAUCAAAAACUUUAACAACAAUUAGUGCUUCUGGUUUGCGCAUUAAAGACUGAGACGAACGGCUUGCUUUUGCAACAAGGCCUAGAUCACCAAGCUCCUGAGGCAAGUCGGAUAGUGAAGUAAUCAUUCAAAAUCAAAAAGAAGAAAGAAAUUGCGGGCAAAAACUUGCAGGAUUUUGAUAUGUCAGGAGAUUCCUGCACACAAAUUAUUAAGCAAAUAUAACUAGACUACACCAUUCGCAAGCUUUGAAUGAAAUUCUGCUCCUCUAACUACAAAAUUUCUUAAAACAAGUGCAGUGUACUCAUUGCAGAAAGAUCAGCCAGAGCCUUCCAUUAAAUCAAGCAACUAGAGUCACAGAAGUCAAGUAAAUCAUAAAGAGAAUAAAUGAUAAAUUUUUUUUUGCAAAUUGUAUCUUAGAUCAAUUAAAAAAAAAUUUUCCAGACAAGCUACUGCGUACAAAAUGUAACAACAACCAACGUACAGCUGCAGCCAAAGAAAGUAACAAGGUAAAACUAAAGCAGCUUCUCAAAUAAUGCAGUUACUUCGUAGAACCAAAAUCGAGCCCAAAACUAAAAUCACAGGCAAAGGGUCGAAUGUUUUUGACAUCAACAUAGCACCAAAGCUAAAUUCAAAAUAUUCAAUUAAAUGUGGCAUUUGACUGGACAAGCUUUUUUUCUAAUCCCAUUCUUGAUAAUUUGUAUAAGAACAAUAGUGCUUGUACAGAGUUAGUAGAUACCUUGCAAACCGAAUCAGACAACACAAUAAUCACCAUAGCAGCAUUCUACAGCAUUGAAGCCACAGCUAGGCAGAGACCUAAAUACAGCAUGGGACUUAUGUUUCUUUCUCCUCCCCUAUUCUCCAUCUCAUUUGUUAAUGUUUUGCAAUUAAUGAAACAAGGCCAAAAAUCUCUAGAAUUUCAUUUACUAGAACUGAGAACAAGUUACCCGCGAUCAUUCUGUCAUUUCACUUGAAGUACAAUUUCUUUAAUUUCUUGGCAUCGAGUUAAGAAAAGCCAACUCCACAAACAAUAAUAUUCAGAGAUAAGAAAAGAAAUUCAAUCAGUUCUAAACCACACCCAAGAUUUGAUAAACACGAGUGACUGGAAUGUAGUAGAGUUUCACCUUGUACUGCUUCUUAAUUUGUGCUUCUUUUGUUCCGCACGCCUCGUACAGAGCCUUAAUAAUCGAAGCAUCCCCAAUCCCAAGCUCCAAUCCUUCAUGAGCUGGAGCAAUCCGGUUCGCCAAAAGGUAAACAACAGCCACCAAAUCCUCUGGCGUCGUUUCCAUCACAGUCCUCAACAUGUUACAAACAAUUGCAGUUAUCGCAAUCCGCCCUGAUUCUUUAGAAAUAGCAUCCAACGCCUUCGCUACAAACAUAAACGGCACCCUUUGUGCCUUUCCCCAAUAUGCCGCCUUCUUGGGAUCAAAACUUGCCGCCUUAUCCUUCAACUCAAGAAGGCUCGCAUCAGGAGUAAUUGCCACCUUAGGUUUCUUAACCACCGCUUCCUCACUUUUCCCCAGCUGGGUUUCUUAAACACCGCUUCCUCACUUUUCCCCAGUAAUUGCCACCUUCGUCAUUUUUCAUAUUUUUUUCCAGCUGGGUUUCUUUAAUUUGAGCUGAAUCAGGUUCUUUGACUGAAAUCGGAGUAGAAUUUUGAGAAGUGAUGAUGGGGGUGGGGGUUUUGCGUUUCUUGGGAGAUGGUUUUUGUUGUUUCUGCACGGACUUUUUCUUGCUGGCAUUGGACAUGAGGAGGUCGAAGGCAGAAGGGUGAGAAGCCAUUGCUGCUAGUGAUCCUGGAUUAACUAAUGGAAUCGAGAGAAAGAGGGAUCUCUGAGAGAAGUGUUUUGCGGGGAAGGAAGAAUAGAUGAGAAAGUAGGGCUUAAAACCGAGUGGUUUUCUGAGGGGAUGAAGCGAAAGAGUGUGGUGGGUAAAGUGGAGUGAAGAAGAGCAUGACCUGAAUGCGGUGAGCAUCAGCUGCCGUUUUUCUGCUACGGAGAGGGAGACAACUGACACGGGUUGCUGUUGCGGAUGCGGAUGGCUAGGAGGAAAGAGGAAGGCAAAUGGCGGGAAAGGAAAUUGAGGGUUUUGUGAACUUAGGAUUGAAAAUUGCCAGAAAAGCCUUUGGAAAAAAAUUGCUGGGGAAGCCUUUUUUGGUGUUUGGGUGAUGAGUUGUUAGCAAAAUCUUGAGAGAGGGACUAAAAUUUUCAUUUCGUAAGCUAGCAAUAGGUGACUUGAAAUUUGUGAUUUGAAGGUUUGAGGUGUACCCCCCAAAAAAAUAAUAACAAAGUCGUAAGCUAGCAAUAUGCAGACUAGUGAGUUAGUGGUAUAUUAGUGGUUUAUUAUACGUUUUCUUUCACUAUGUUCACACUCUGAAGUCUGAAUUAUUCCAACCCAAUUGAUGAAAAAUGUUUUAAAAAUAUUUAGGACAAAUGCAAUAUCCACAUAGUUUAUUUUUGUGAUAUGUCGCAUCGUGGAGUGGAAACGGCAUGCAUAUAUGCUUGGGCUCGUGAGUUAUCAAGUAAUUUAGAUUAAUCAUAUUUUGUACCAUAAUUUGGCUCAAAAGUUAAUUAGGCCAACCCGUGGAUCAAAAGCGUUACAAUUUUGACUUAUUUUAUUGAUUCAAGUUUGUUCAAAAACUUUUUUUGGUAAAAAAUUUAUGCGACAUGGAAACAUAAUUUGGUGAAUUCACAAAACCAUGUAUAUUGCACAUGCCAAAAUCAGCUCGAAAGUGGAUUGUCCAACCCAAUUGUAAUGAUACAAGUUUUAAAAGAUUAGCAAAGAUGCAUAUGAAGGUAAAAAAAGGUGAUUAGCAAAUGUGUUUACGAAAAAAAAAAUUUUAAAAGAAAACAGUUUUCCAAAAUUUUAACUCUUGCACCCAUUCCUACACUUUUCUACUCCCAACUGUCAAGUUCAGAAUUCGAACUUUGAACUCGACGACGUUGGUCAUUGGACCAAUCCCAAUGCUUAAUUUUACCAAACUUGCAAAACAAGAAAUAAGAAAUAAAGACCGACCAAAACGUCUAUAAGUAUACUGAUCACAACAAAUAAUAUAAAAUCUGUUUUGACUCGCCAAACUUAGGUUAUUUGCAUGAGUUUCUUCAUUGUUUUUUAAUUUUAAUAAUAAUUGAUAUCCCUCUUCUGAAGGUCUCUCCACAGUCUCCACACACGGGGUUGAUGGAACAGUUUUUGAAUGAGAGCCAUUCAAGUCAUGUUGUUGAUUGGAGUUCCAGAAAAAAAAAACUCCAAAUUCCGUCUGCAACUGGCUGGGGCGGUACGCUGGUACGGAACAAAAAAUCUAUAAUAAGAUAAACAAUGGAAUGUAGUUGUAAUGAUGAACCCCUACCUAAACCUAAAUAAACGGAAUAAUUAAUACACCACCAAAUCAAUAAUUGUAUCAUAUUCUACAUGUUCUUUCCUUCUCGAACUAGCUUGCAACUGGUUUUGAUACGUCAGGUUUCUUUACAGGGACUAGACUACAACUACUUGUAUGGACGAAGAAACUCCAAGUUCCUAAGUCCACGAAUUUCGGAUCCCACCAGUGAUUUUUGUGUUGUUGGUCAUGAUUAGUUUCUUCUUAUCUUCUCUCCAGUGCAGGACGGUUGGUCAACUGAACAUGCAAGUUGAUAAUUGCUCAAUUCUUCAAUGAUAAUAAUGUUGAUGAAAAACUCACAAAUUAUGCAGAACGAUCUGCAGCAGAAGGGCCUGCAUUGAUUGCUUAUAAUGAGAAUCCACUUCACUUGGGCAGAAAGCUAGGGGGUGAGCAUGAGAAAUGGCAGCUACCUAUUUGGAUUGCAUUUUUCGUCAUUUUUCAUCGAAAAAUUACUGUAGCGAUUUGAUGUACGUAAGGAAAAAAGAUAAUAGAAAAAUGUGUUCACGAAAAACGACGCAAUUUUCUGAUAAAAAAUGGCAAUCCAAACACACUGGCUUCAACUACUUGGUCCACUAAUAUUGCUGCUGCAUAUGGAGGUUGAGAAACAGGGAUGGUGUUGGUUUGUGGGUCCCCCUUAGACUGACUUUAGGGUCCGUUCUUUCGUUGACUCAUGAGUGUUUCUAAUCUAACUGUGUGUGUUCUUCUUCUGUCUAUAGAAAAAAGAAAGUGUAGUAAACUUUUUUCAUUCUUAUUUCUCCCUCCGUCCCACUUUGAUAGUCUUAUUUUUUUUCACACAAUUUAAGGAAAAAUAGUUAAUUUUGUUGAAAAAAUAAAUUUAGAUUGCCAUUUUUCUAACAUAUCCUUACAUUAAAUAUGGUACAACUUUAUGGGAACUUAGAAUUGAUGGUAAAAAAAGAAUAAACUCUCAUUAAAUGGAGUAGAUUUAUAGUAACAACUACUUACAUUGAAUAAGGGUAUAUUAGAAAAAUUAAAAUACAACUACAUUCUUCAAUUGAAAAGUGGACUACAAUUUGGGAUAGAUGAAAAAGGAAUACAGGACUAUCAAAGUGGGACGGAGGGAAUAUGAUACUUUUAUUAUAGUUCAUAAGCCCAAAAAAAAAAGAAAGAAAGUGUAGUAACAUUUGAUUCGUAGUCAUUAUAUAUAUUAUUAAAAUGCAUGCAUAUACAUUUAUAAUAUUUUUUUAAUUUAAUUUCACGCUUUCAAAAAAAGUACUACUGUAUGAAAUCUAUUUUGGCAGUGUCCACUAGAUAGCAUUAGACAAUUAAGACAUAAUAGGGAUUGCAAUAAUGUUUUUCAAAAAAAAAAUUCCAAUCAGUAACCGACACACUACUCAUUUUCCAAAAUCAGCUCUUGUAAUUCCACUUUCACCUGCAGUUCACGGGCUUCCCAUAGAAAAUCCAUCCUAAUUUAAACUGUGCAGUUUUUGCGGGGAGACCAUCCAUCUCCAUCUGGUAGGUCAAGACUUGUAUAGGAUUUAGGCUACUGAUUGAUGAGUCAACAAAAAAAAAAUAAAAAAACAAAAAGAAAGAAUCUUUACCCCUGAAGUUUAAACAAACAAAACAUUAAAUUAUUGUAGACAUGACCUCGUGGAAAUCUGCUCUUAUUAAAAUGUUUUGAAAUUAACCAAGCAGACAAAAGAAGAUUUGGCAUUCCAAGAAAUACAAAAUUAGUGUCAGUUAAUAAGGGUUAAUUUGGUUUCUUUCUCAUGUUUGGUGUCCCUCUUCAUGUUGCUUCGAUUUGGUCGCAUAAAUUACAAAGGAGAGUGACAAAACAAUUGACCAAAAGAGAACAGAACAGAAUGGAACAUUUGCAAUGUUGUCAUGGAGUUCGAUCUGACAAGAUGUGGAGUAGAUCACUCUAUAUUUUAUCGGCAUUCUAAUGCUAGUAAAAUUUUAUUAGUUGUUUAUGUGAAAAAUAUUGUGAUUACAAGUGAUGAUGUUGUGAGGAUCCAGAAACUUAAAUCCAAUCUGCAGGCAAACUUUCAGACAAAAGAUUUAGGUCAUCUACAGUAUUUUUUGUGUAUUGAGGUAGCUCGGUCUAAAUAUGGGAUUUAUUUAUGUCAAAGGAAAUAUGUACUCAAUAUGUUGAGUGAAGUUGGGAUGUUAGGUUGCCGACCUGUGGAUACUCCUAUGGAUCCCAAUGUGAAAUUAGUAGGAGAUCAAGGUGCAUUACUUGAUGAUCCUAAGCAAUAUCGAAGACUUGUGGGUAAAUUAAAUUAUCUCACUGUAACGAGAUCUGACAUUUCAUUUGCAGUGUGUGUUGUGACUCAAUUUCUUGAUGCCCCUCGUACUAGUAAUUGGGAUGCUGUUAUACGAAUUUCCAAGUAUCUUAAGAGUGCUUCUGAGAAAGGGUUGCUGUAUCAAAAUCAUGGACAUACUGAUAUUGAAGGAUAUAGUGAUGCAGAUUGGACUGGUUCUGCCUCAGAUCGAAAAUCGACCAAAGGAUAUUGUGUGUUUGUUGGUGGUAAUUUAGUGUCGUGCAAGAGUAAGAAGCAAACAAUUGUCUCCAGAUCAAGUGUAGAAUCUGAAUGACUCACUGUAUGUGAGUUGGUUUGGUUGAAGAGCAUGUUACUUGAAAUUGAGUUUGAGCAUAAACAGUGAUGCGAACUCGACCCAAUAAGAACCUGUCAUGAAGAACCGAAUCGAUCAGGCAGCGGAAGGAUCUAUCUUGAUCAGGUUAUGGAACAAUAACUACCUUGCUAGAUCUAAAGAGAACCUGUCUCUAGAAACCUAGUGGAUUGGUUAUUGGCUUGAAAGAAUAAGAUGAAGUGAUCAUCUUGCCUUGAACACCACAAGUAUCCAAGCUAAAUACUUGAUACUGUUCAAGAAGAAACUCAAGUUCCAUCAAGGAACUCCAUAAAAGGAGACAACUCUCUUUUUAUUAAUUCAUCUUCAAUCUGCUCUCCCAAUAGUUAAAUAAAGUUGGCUAUUUAUAGCCUUACAAGACUCAAAACCAUAAUCUAUAUUGGAAACAAUACAAGUUUUUUUAUUUGACUCGACUUCUAAACUUGACACAAUUUCCUAAACAAAUUUGGAAGCAAUUAACUGUUUUCCUAAAACUCUAAUUCAACUAGAAUAGGAAACUAGCUAAUUCAAAUUGGCUUAACUAUGGUCAACAUGACCUUAGCCUUUAUUCCCUAAUUCAAGCAACUUACUUAACUCUCAAUUUGGAAAUCAAUCAAGAUACCAAUCAAGAUUAGGAAGCCAAUUAAAAUUUGGAACAUUUGGAUCUUCAAUGAUUCUCGAGCCUGAUUGCACCAUCAACCAUCAUUAGAAUGUGAAGACUUGUAAAAUGAAAGGAAUCCAUGCAAAUCUUCAUGUUCUCAAAAAACAGCUUAUAAAUCUAGUGUGUGAUAAUCAGGCAGCUGUCCAUAUUGCGUCUAAUCCAGUGUUUCAUGAAAGGACAAAACAUAUUUAAGUUAAUUGUUACUUCAUUCGAGAAAAAUUGCUUGACGGAGUCAUCAAGACAUCUCAUGUACCGUCUGUAGAUCAAUUGGCUGAUUUGUUUACCAAGAAUUUAGGGGGCUCUAGGGUGAAAUACAUUUAUGAUAUAUAUGCUCCAACUUGAGGGGGAGUGCUAGGAGAAUAUCAAUAUUUUUGUAGAUAAUAUUAGUAAGGGUAUUCUUGUAAAUAGUUGGUUAGAUUUGUACUCCUAUAAAUACUAGUUGGUCACUCAUAAUACAGUGACUAGAUGUUUUCCUCCCAAGAUACCUGCUGACAGACUUAAAAAAAUCCAAGAGUCUUUUGCACAAUGCUAAAAGCAGAUAAAGAUAUAAACAUCAUUGAACAAAAAUUAGCAUACCUGUCCUCGACUGUCAAGCUGUGCUUGUAGAAGAGGUUGGCCAUUGAUAUACAAGAUAUCAAAAGCAUAUAUGCAAACACCAACCUUUAUUUCACUCAAGACCACAUUUUUACGAGCCCGUGUGCUGAGGACCUGCCACCAAUUCAUACUUUUAAGUCUGAAUUUGUAAUACCAUUCUUACAACUCUAGCAUUUCAUCAAGUAACAAUUCAUGUGUGACACUCUUUCCAGCAAAAUGAAAAGCUGAACACCAGAAGAAGCUGGCUCCUUAAUGACAAGAAAUAUACUUUGAAGCAUAAAGUGUAGAGACAACAUAUGUUUAGGAAACCUAAGUGUGUCCCCUUUAUCCUCCUGGUGGGUGGUAGGGACAUGGUCAGUGGAAAAGAAUAGCCUGAUAUAUAUAAAUCAGUAAAAUUUGUGGACGUGUUACAAGAUUAAGGCAAGGCCCCUGAUGGAGACUAAUGAUGGUCUAUUUGCCAAAGCAUGACUUGAAUUACCUAAAAGAAACUAAAAAAAGUGCUUAUACAAAAGCAUCAAAUCAAAUACAAUAUAUUCCAAAUUCAAUUUUCAAGUUGUUUGGCCUAACAUCCAUGUAGCAUCAUCACCCCCUCAAAGUGUAAAUUCCUCAUUUGAUCAACAAAAAGUAGCCCAAUUAGUAAUGAAUCUACCCUUAGUCAUAUUCAUCAAAAUUUCACAACCUUCAAAUAUUUUAGAGCAGACACUGGACAGAUCAAAUUGGCCGAAACUUUAAUACCUCAACACUCAAAAAUCUCCAGUUCCUAUCAUAGAAAAUCAAGAAUUAUAUGACAUCAACUGACUCAAAUGAAGCACCUGAAAUAGAUGCAAGAAAGAAGUUGCACGUGUAGUUUCAAGAUAUCCCAUAGGGGGACUGAAGGUGUCGGGAAGCAUUUCAUGUGACAGACCCCAGGCAUGCCCUAUUUAAGUUCAUGAUGAGAUAGCCCAUAAUAGAUAGCCCUAGGAUUUUGAGCAUGCUCAAUACCAAGAUGAUUCUUACAGCACCCAAAGUUGAUGAGUUCACAAACGAAAAACAAAGAUGACUCGACCACUUUCUUCCCAAUACAGGAUUGAAGGAGAUUUGUUACUUUGCCAAUUUAAUACUUCAGCAUUGAUUGUACAUAAAUUAUUAACAUUGUAUAUGUUGUUGUCAUAUGCCACAAUAAAGAUCAUGAAGGCUACACAAUAAGCAAUGCUAGAGCCAGAAUUGGAGACUUAAAUCAGUUAGCAAUCGAUUUUUCUAUUUAACUUCAAUUGUUCUGAUGUGCUAGCAUAGUUAAAAGGACCACUUCAGCAGGCCCAUGACAAAAUCAGAUUUACAAAGAUCUUGCACUUAGGCAAGCUCAAUAUUACAGAAGUAAACAGUUCACCUGGAAGGGGAGAAUUUUUUUCUUCUCACGAUCAAAUGCAACAAUUUCACAAUCAAGAACAAAUGAGGUUACAGACAGCCUUUUAAACCUGCAAUAAAACAGCUAAAUGUCAGGAAAAUUGAGAGAGAUUUUCUGGCAGACUUGUAAUGUUAGUAGGAAACAACUAGUCAUUCUUAAAAAUAAGCUCUACUGAUAUACUCUCAUACCCAACUAUGUAAAUUAUGUUUCUGCUCAUUAAGAAAGCAAUAGACUACAAAAACCCAUCAUGAGAAGGCCCACCACAGCAGUGAAAGUAUAGUGCUAAGCUCAGACAGCCUUACUCAACCAAGUAAAGAGACUCUUCCUGUUCAUCAAACCAUUAACCAGCUUGUGACGGCAUGUUCCAAAUCAAAGUUGGAAUGGGCUACAAUAAAAGUACCUUGAAAUUGCAUCCACAACAUCAGGAUACUUUCCAGUGUUUCUUUCUGCAUUUCGACUAUAUAUCUCCACUGUACCAUCCUCCAUGUAGUGAAUCUGCAGGACAUGGUUAGACAAACACACAUCACCAAGACUGUGAAAGGAAAGGCAUAUAACAUAGGCGUCAUGUCUAGUUUCUUGCUACCUGAGCACGUUCUCCAUCAUACUUGUAUUCACAGGUGAAUUUAAUAUCCUGAAACUUAUCCAAUAUUUCAGAAACUCCCUUAGUUGGUUUUGCUAGCAUAGGUCCAACAGGAACACCAGGUGAAAAGCUACAUGUCUUGGGAAGAUCCCAUACACCAUCAGCAAGAAGAGCAGGGAUUAUUUUAUCAUAGACUGGAAUUACCGAGUAAACUUGUUUCACGAUUUUAGCAGCCUGAGGGAUGGAAAGCAAUUUCACAACAUGUUUAUGCAAUAAACAAAAAACUCUCUUAAAUUUGCACAUAGUAUUAGCACAAUAAUAAAAUCUAAUUAAAAAAUUUAUUCAAACUCUCUCAGAAGUUUAAAUUCAUGCCAAGAUACCUCUUCUAAAGAAGAAUCUAUAUUUGCAGGAGUUGAAGAUUGCUUAUCAACAUAAACUGCAGCAUGGCCCAAAGCAGCUAACAGAGUUUGCUCAGCUAAACCAAUGCGCAGUUUAGCCAGCAUGUAGAGUUCAAGAAUAAUUUUCCGAUUAAAGGUGCCAAUUUGUGAUAUUAGAUCUUCAAUUGUCUCACCUGGAGCAGACGAAUCAAGUACUGAGGUUCACAAUCAGUAGCAGCAACCAGUAGUGCCUUGAUAUGAUUCUUUUUCUUCUCUUGACUAUCCUUACCAGAUUCCUAAUGCAAAUCACGUAGAGAUACAGUUACAAAACUAAAAGAAGUAAACCGUUAUGCUCUUCUCUAGAUCAAUAAAUUAUAAGUUAAUAUACAAGCACCAAUUCAUGUGCAUAUCUCGGCUGAUUACCCAUCAUCCCAAAAAAAAAGCCUCUCUCUCUCCCCCCUGAUGUUCAACUUUUCUCACCCGUCUCUCUCUCUUCCGUUUCCUCUGUAAUCUUUAUCUUAUUCUCGCUCUCUCUCUCUCUCUCUACCUAUGCUUCUCUUGCCACCCUCGCAACUUUCACUUUUACCUCCUAACCCAUCCUCUCCUCUACCGGUCAGCCCUCCCUUCAACAUGCAAUGACCAUGGAAGCCAAGCUAGAGAUAGAUAAUUGAGGUUUUUUUUUUAUUGGUCUCAUAGUAGAUCAGCCUUUCCUACAUGUUAACAGUGUUGUGGGGGUGUUGUUGGGAAUUCAUGAUGGAUCAAAGUUUUGAUUAACAGUUUGUGGUGAUUUUGGCGGUUUUGCAGAUAUAUGAAAUUUUGAAAAAAUAGUGUGUUGUCAUUUGAAAUUGGUGGGGAUUAGUGGGAUGAUUCAAAGAGUUGAAAACAUUUCUAGUUUGGCAAGAAUGGAUGUGAUGUUAGCAGCUGCUUUUGUUGUUUGUUGUUGGCUGAGUUUUUUUUUUUUCAAUUUCGUUGUUGGCUGAGUUCGGUGGCGGUCUAGUUGCAGUCAUACAGAGUCCAUUUGGGAAGAAAGAUAACAAAGUUGGCAAAAGGGGGCAAAGAAUUAGCUAGACAUACUAAAAAAAAAUUCAGUGGAUUCCUAUUUCACCACAACAAACCAAACAUACGAAAAGAAGUUGCUAAAACCCAUUACGAUUGAGGACCUUUGAUACUCAUUGCUACUGCCAUUCCAGAAUACCAACCAAACAGGUAGUUAGUGUACUCUAGCUCUAAAACAUUUCAAAAAAUAGAUUUCAAGUUUCAUGUAUCGAAACCAAUAAAGGCAGCUAUGAAUAUCUUAAGGAAUAAGGCAAUCCAGUUUAACUCUCAUCUACAGCGAAUAAGAUCAAAGCUCAUCAUCGAAGUCCAUGAAAUGGGAAAAUUCCAAGGUACCUUAGCAAUAAGGCGAAAUGUAUCAAAAACUUUAACAACAGUUAGUGCUUCUGGUUUGCGCAUUAAAGACUGAGACGAACGGCUUGCUUUUGCAACAAGGCCUAGAUCACCAAGCUCCUGAGGCAAGUCGGAUAGUGAAGUAAUCAUUCAAAAUCAAAAAGAAGAAAGAAAUUGCGGGCAAAAACUUGCAGGAUUUUGAUAUGUCAGGAGAUUCCUGCACACAAAUUAUUAAGCAAAUAUAACUAGACUACACCAUUCGCAAGCUUUGAAUGAAAUUCUGCUCCUCUAACUACAAAAUUUCUUAAAACAAGUGCAGUGUACUCAUUGCAGAAAGAUCAGCCAGAGCCUUCCAUUAAAUCAAGCAACUAGAGUCACAGAAGUCAAGUAAAUCAUAAAGAGAAUAAAUGAUAAAUUUUUUUUUGCAAAUUGUAUCUUAGAUCAAUUAAAAAAAAAAAUUUCCAGACAAGCUACAACGUACAAAAUGUAACAACAACCAACGUACAGCUGCAGCCAAAGAAAGUAACAAGGUAAAACUAAAGCAGCUUCUCAAAUAAUGCAGUUACUUCGUAGAACCAAAAUCGAGCCCAAAACUAAAAUCACAGGCAAAGGGUCGAAUGUUUUUGACAUCAACAUAGCACCAAAGCUAAAUUCAAAAUAUUCAAUUAAAUGUGGCAUUUGACUGGACAAGCUUUUUUUCUAAUCCCAUUCUUGAUAAUUUGUAUAAGAACAAUAGUGCUUGUACUGAGUUAGUAGAUACCUUGCAAACCGAAUCAGACAACACAAUAAUCACCAUAGCAGCAUUCUACAGCAUUGAAGCCACAGCUAGGCAGAGACCUAAAUACAGCGUGGGACUUAUGUUUCUUUCUCCUCCCCUAUUCUCCAUCUCAUUUAUUAAUGUUUUGCAAUUAAUGAAACAAGGCCAAAAAUCUCUAGAAUUUCAUUUACUAGAACUGAGAACAAGUUACCAGCGAUCAUUCUGUCAUUUCACUUGAAGUACAAUUUCUUUAAUUUCUUGGCAUCGAGUUAAGAAAAGCCAACUCCACAAACAAUAAUAUUCAGAGAUAAGAAAAGAAAUUCAAUCAGUUCUAAACCACACCCAAGAUUUGAUAAACACGAGUGACUGGAAUGUAGUAGAGUUUCACCUUGUACUGCUUCUUAAUUUGUGCUUCUUUUGUUCCGCACGCCUCGGACAGAGCCUUAAUAAUCGAAGCAUCCCCAAUCCCAAGCUCCAAUCCUUCAUGAGCUGGAGCAAUCCGGUUCGCCAAAAGGUAAACAACAGCCACCAAAUCCUCUGGCGUCGUUUCCAUCACAGUCCUCAACAUGUUACAAACAAUUGCAGUUAUCGCAAUCCGCCCUGAUUCUUUAGAAAUAGCAUCCAACGCCUUUGCUACAAACAUAAACGGCACCCUUUGUCCCUUUCCCCAAUAUGCCGCCUUCUUGGGAUCAAAACUUGCCGCCUUAUCCUUCAACUCAAGAAGGCUCUCAUCAGGAGUAAUUGCCACCUUAGGUUUCUUAACCACCGCUUCCUCACUUUUCCCCAGCUGGGCAUCCUUAACCUUGCUCGAAUCGUCAUUUUUCAUAUCUUUUUCCAGCUGGGCUUCUUUAAUUUGAGCUGAAUCAGGUUCUUUGACUGAAAUCGGAGCAGAAUUUUGAGAAGUGAUGAUGGGGGUGGGGGUUUUGCGUUUCUUGGGAGAUGGUUUUUGUUGUUUCUGCUCGGACUUUUUCUUGCUGGCAUUGGACAUGAGGAGGUCGAAGGCAGAAGGGCGAGAAGCCAUUGCUGCUAGUGAUCCUGGAUUAACUAAUGGAAUCGAGAGAAAGAGGGAUCUCUGAGAGAAGGGUUUUGCGGGGAAGGAAGAAUAGAUGAGAA